UACGUAGGUGGCAAGCGUUAUCCGGAAUUAUUGGGCGUAAAGGGCGCGUAGGCGGCCACGCACGUCCGUUGUGAAAUCGCCCGGCUCAACUGGGCGGGGUCAGCGGAUACGGUGUGGCUCGAGCAAGCUAGGGGGCAAUGGAAUUCCCGGUGUAGUGGUGGAAUGCGUAGAUAUCGGGAGGAACACCAGUGGCGAAGGCGGUUGCCUGGAGCUUUGCUGACGCUGAGGCGCGAAAGCGUGGGGAGCGAUCCGG
rnacentral:rRNA from 1 species